rnacentral:lncRNA from 1 species
CACCCCUCUAGUUCCUUCUCUAUCCCUCUUUCUUUGACAGGGUGCAGGUGGGGGGGGGGGAAUUAUCUUCUAUGCCAUUUGUUAUUUAUAUCUGUGUAAUUUCAAGAUGUUCAUUUCUCUGGAUUUCAACAAUGGGCUUCUUCCAUAUAUUUGUCCAAAGGGUUGUAUUUAGAAUUACAAAUACAAAAAUUAUUGCAUCUGAUCCUGAGGUAUAUUUAUCAUCUUUGAGAUGGCAAUGGAACUGUGGGAAGGGGACAGCCAGCAUGG